ensembl:lncRNA
UGAUCUAGACAACUCUGUUACUUCUUGCUUGCCAGAGAGCACAGCUAUGGCUGCUUCUCCUUGACUACCCACUCUGGCUUGGUGGGAGCGUCUCUGCCAUCCAGCUUCUCCAUCAACUUUGUCAACUUUGAGCCUAAGCAGGGCCACUGAAUGAGAGAUUUUGGAUAAGUCAUUGUCAAGGUAACUAUAGACAGCUGUGGUGUGUUGCAAGCAUGCCAGCCAUGGAGGCAGAAAGCCUGGGUUUGAAUUCCAGUUACUCACAAAUUGCGAGGAAAUGAAGCACCAAAAAGGAAUUCAUCCAACAUCAUAACUGGUGGAGUUGGAAUUCAGACUCUGUGCCUCCAGAAAGCAAUACUGCCCAACACAUAUGAAAAUUCCUAGCAGCAACUGCCCCUGACCUUUUCAGCUCCCAGACUGCUGGCUGUCAACCAACAUGCAACUGGCAGAAAAAUAGAAACCUUCUCUUGGGGGAGAGAAAAGAUCUAAGAUUCUGAUAUCAGGAAGCCCCCAAGGAAUAGAACGAAGAUCUUGACACUGAGAGUCUCCCAAGGAAUUGGCCCAGCUAGAUGGCCCUACAAUGAAGACUACAGUCAACCAGCUACAUGGACACACAUGGAGUUUCUAAUCAGCUUUCUGGCAGACAACUUUUGGUUUGAGCAAACAGCCAGAGAAUACCAGGACAAGGAAAGCCUCUGCUAUGACCAAGAUAUUCAGAAAAUAAGAGAAGUUGUUGGAUUUAUAAAAGAAGAACAGGGUACUAUGUUAAAAAAAAAAAAAUUCAGAGAACCAAGAAGCAAGCUUUUGGAAAUUAAAAUUAUGAUAACUGAUAUGAAGGGGGUGUAUAUAAGUAGAAGAUAAAUACAGAAGAUAGAAUAUAGGAAAUAUCCAAGAAAGUAAAACAAAAAGACGAAGAUAUAGAGAAUAAAAGAGAAAAGAGAAGAAAAUUAGAAGACCAAGCCAGACAAUUCAACACCUAAAUAAUAGGAGUUCCAGAAAUUGGAAGCAGAGAAAAUGGAGGGGAGGAAGUUAUAAAACGUAAUUCAAGAAAGUUUCUCAGAACUGAGAGGCAUACUUGCCCAGUGGAAUGUCCUAAAGUAGACCCACAGCAUAUCAUAUUAUGGCAUUUCAAAUCACUAGGAAAAAUCAGAAAGUCCUACAAUCUCCACAACAGUGGGAAAGAGGCAUUUCAUACGAGAGUCAAGAAUCAGAAUGGCACUAAACUCCUCAAAAUAUAACAGUGGAAUCUAUAAGACAAUAAAACAAUGUCUUCAAACUUCUGAAGAAAAAUGAUUUCCAAUUUCAAUUCUAUUCCCACUCAAAAGUGUGAGGGCAGAAUGAAGAUCUCAAAAAACUUACCUCCUUUGUGCCCUUUCUCUGGAAUCUACAGGGGGAUGUGCUCCAAGAAAACAAGGAAGUAAAGUAAGAAAGAGUUAGACCUAGGGUCCAAGAAACAGAGACAAGGAGAGUCUCCAGGAUGGGUUGAAUGGGGACCUCAAGGUGACAGCAGUGCCUAGAAAGCAACAUGUCUAGGAUGGAACAGGUUACAAGGUUCCAGGAAGGAUUUCUUCAGGAAGAGGAAAUUGAUUGAAUACCUAAUUUGAACGUCUCAGGAGUAAACUUGCAUGCACACUUCAGGAAGGAUUUGGGUUAAAUUAGCAAUAAGUCCAUAAAAAGAUAAGACAAUCCAUAAAAAGACCAUUGUUAAUUUCAGAGAAAACUAAUAAGCAAGGCUUUUAAAAUUAAGAACUUGCUGGGCCAGCCCCAGUGACCCAGUGGUUAAGUUCGACGCACUGUGCUUCAGCGGCCUGGGUUCAAUUCCUGGGCAUGGACCUACACCACUUGUUUGUCAGUGACCAUACUGUGGUGGCAGCUCACAUACAAAAAGAGGAAGAUUGGCAGUGGAUAUUAACUCAGGGCAGAUCUUCCUCAGCAAAGACAAAAAAAAAAAAAUUAAGGACUUAUACUCAUCAAAAGCAAGUUUAAAGACAAAUUAUAAUCUUGAGAUAUUCACAAUACACAUAAAUGAAAAAUAAUAUCAAGAAUGUAAAAUGAACUUCUAAAAAUCAAUAAGAAGACCACAAACACUCCCAUAAAAAAUAGGGGGGAGAUACGAAGAAGUAUUUCACAGAAGAGGAAUUACGUAUGGCCAUACAAAUACAAAGAGAUGCUCAAUUAUCAGUGAUCAGGAUAAUACAAAUCAAGGCCUUGAUAAUAUGGCAUUUCAUUGGUGGAAACUUAAAAAACUGAUAAUACCAAAUGUUGGAUAAGAUGUAGAUUCAUGCAAUCUUUUACAUGUUGCUGGUGUGAUUAAAAAAUAAAAAUGUUCUGGGCCGGCCCAGUGGCAUAGUGUUUAAGUCCAUGAGCUCUACUUCAGUGGCCUGAGGCUCACAGGUUUGGAUCCCAGGCAUGGACCUACACAGUGCUCAUCAAUCCAUGCUGUGGCAGCAUCCCACAUACAAAAUAGAGGAAGAUUGGCACAGAUGUUAGCUUGGGGCAAAUCUUCCUCACCAAAAAAAGAAGAAAAAAAAAUUUGUCAUUACCUUCCAAAGUUGAAGAAAAACAUUCUAUGACCCAGCAAUCCUCUUUUAGAGAGAAAGAGAAAGUUUUAAAUAUAUAUAAGAGAAAUGUGUGAGAAGAUUCAUUACAGCACUGUUCAGCAAAAACCUGGAAACAACCCAACAGCUGCCCAUCAGUGGAGGCGUAGAUGAAUAAACUGUGGUAAUUUACAACAGUCAAAACAAAUAAAUGUAUGGAUGAAUCAGAGUGAUUUUGUCAUAAGAGUAAAAAGUAAAUCUCAAUAUUGUAUACAGCCUGAUGUACUUUAUAUAAAAUUUAAAUUAAAAAAUCCUCCUGCUUUCUAUUCAAUUAUUAGUCAUAUAUUCUUUUGCUUUUCUUGUUGUGGUUAUCCUAGAGAUUAUAUGUUGUAUCUUUGAUGUUUAAAGUUUAAUAUGUUGGUACUUUUCUUUCUUCCCAGGCAAUUCAAAGACUUUAGAACACUUAAAUCCCAUUUAUCACUCUCCUACUUAUUUACCAUUGUUGUCAUAUAUUUUAAUCCUCUCAAUGUUUUUAUCCCCACAAAAUGUUAUUACUGUUGUUUUCUGCAAUCAGUAUUGACCUAGUUUACCCACAUAUUUAUGUGAUUUUUGCUCUUCAUUCCUCUCUACAUUUCUGAAUUUCCCCUGAAAUAAUUUCCCUUCCAUUUGAUGAACAUCCUUUAAUUCUCUCAGUUUUGCACUGGAAACAUAAUUAUUUUACUUCCUUUUUUAAGCAUUGCUUUUUCUGGGAAUAGAAUUCUAGGUUGGGAUUUAUUUUCUUUUUGCAUUUUAAAGAUAUCGUUUCAUUGUCUUCCAGCUUCCAUUGCUCUUGCUUGACUGAAUGUUUCUUUGAAGACAAUCUGUCGUUUUUCUCUUUCUCUUAGUCCGUGGUGUUUAGUAGUUAUACUAUGAUGUAUGUAGGGGUGUGUGUGUCUGUAUUUAUCCUGCUUGUGAUUUAUAAUAUGACUUCAAUCUGUGGCUUGGCAAAUUUCAUCAUUUUUAGAAAAAUUUAAAUCAUUAUCUCUUCAAAUAUUACUUCUGUCCAAUUUUCCUUCUCCUCUUCUGUGUCCUAUAUAUUUCUUACGGAAAAAAAGCUACAAGAAAGAACCAAGAAAAGUAUUCUUUUUUAUUCUUUUCUCUUCCUUGCCUCAUUUAGGAUGUUUUUAUCUGAUCUGUCUUCCAAUUAACUAAUUAUCUGUUCAUUUGUAUUUAAUCUGUUGUUAGAUCUAUUCAUUGGGGGGUCUGAGUAAAAGUUAUUCUUUUUAGAUUUUAGAAUUUUUUUCUCUUCUUUCUUUUAGCUUCUAGUUCUUUACCAGGAUUCUCCAUCUUGUCUUUUAUUUCUUUGAACAUAUUAAGCAUAAUUAUUUUCAAGUCUUAUGUUUGAUAACUCCAUUUUCUUGAGCCUCUGUUGUCC